rnacentral:misc_RNA from 1 species
AUUCAAUAACUUAAAAAAGAAAAGUGAAGAAGUAAAUAAAUAGCUCGUACAAUGAGAGAGAACUUCAUUAUCAAUACAAUCAUCCCAAUCUCCUCCUCCUUCGCUCCUGUAAAAUUUCAUUGUCCAUAUCUGACCGUCGUGGUAACUCACUCCUCCUUCUGGUUGAUGGAGAUGGAAGUAUUAUUCGGUCAAAUUCAGUCACACUACUGGUCUGGUUUUGUAGACUCGUAGCAAUAUCCAUUGUUCUAGAAGAUGACUCGAAUUGGGGAACCAGAAAGGUGAUUCCACCAACAGGAUCUGGAGUCAUACCCG